UACGUAGGUGGCGAGCGUUAUUCGGAUUUACUGGGCGUAAAGGGUUCGUAGGGGGUUUGUCAAGUCUGAUGUGAAAUCCCGCGGCUCAACCGCGGAAGUGCAUUGGAUACUGCCGAACUAGAGUUCUUGAUGGGAAAGCGGAAUUCCAGGUGUAGCGGUGGAAUGCGUAGAUAUCUGGAAGAACACCGGUGGCGAAGGCGGCUUUCUAGCAAGAUACUGACCCUCAUGGACGAAAGCGUGGGUAGCGAACAGG
rnacentral:rRNA from 1 species